CGGCGCCCUCCCGAGCCGCCCCGCCGGCGCCCCGCACACGUACACACACACACUCACGGGACUCCUCCGGCUCAUCGAGGGAGUGCGGGGCCCGCGGACAGCCCCCAGGGUCGGCUCAGGUCUCCGGCUGGGCUGACGGCAGCGGCGUCUCCGAGGCUCUCGCUUUGCCGCAGUCGCCGCCAUGUAACCCCGACCCGAGAGAGAGGGCGAGGGAGAUGGGGCGGGGCCUCCGGGGCCACGCCCCCGCACGUCACAGGCUCACUCCACGGGUUCCCCCGCCCCCGCCCGGCCCCGCGCGCCAGCACGCGCCGGAAUUUCCAAAUCCUGUGACUGGGCUCCGCGGGCCGCGGGGGCGGCGCAGGGCGCGCGGGCGCUGGGGCCGCCUCCGGAGGCUGGACCCGGGACCGCUCUGCUAUGCUCCCUGUCCCCGCGCUGGAGCACAGCGACCCAACUCCUUGCGAGCGUUUCCUGCGCACCUACUACGUGCAAGGCGCUGGCAGUCCAGGAGGAAUAGGCCUUCGUCCCUGUCCCCGGAAAUGGGCCUGGAACGAGAAGGCUGGAGCUGAAGAUGGAUUGGCUAGAAGGCAACAGCCGACGUACAGGGCAAACGCGUUAGAGGCCAGGUGCUAAGGAGGUUGUUAAAUCUGCCCGCGGGUACGAAGGAAGGCUUCUAAGGGAGGUCGCCACGGGUGACCUUUCAGCUGUAUCAGAAGGAGCUGAUAUAACCGGAGGAGAUCCAUCUGCUUGGUGUUUUCUACUCUGGAGAGCUUAAGGACAUCUCAGCCCAGUGACUUUUCUUCUAUGAGCCUGCUUUCAGACAGUCCGUAAAAGUUUUAAAGAAGACAAGUCCCCCAGAGGUAAUCCUUGAGGGCUCCACUCUGAAACAGGAAGACUCCAUCUGGUAUCCUGGCACCAACAGUAGUCAGUAGACUGGGUACUGGCCCCAGUUCUGACACAGUAGUUGUUAGAUUCCAGGCUGGACUGAUGGUAGGAGAUGCUGCUAUAAAACUGAGCUCUUUAUUAGCGAUGGAGAUAAUACAAUCCCCAAAUAAUUGAGCCAUAUGGCAUCACGCAACGCUCAGAAACCAUGUGGACACAAUUAUGAUCAUGAGUGGCAAGAUCAAAGUGGCAAUCAGGGGCACCUGACCUGCAGAGCGGUAUGGAGAUAGUUAAUAAAACACGGUGUCACCUGCUGAAAAAUAGAUGGGUAGUAUAGUACAAGCAAAAGAAAACAAAGAGGGUGAAGGGAAUGGAACUAUUUGGGAGCAAAGCUUUUGUAUACUAUUGAAAUUAAGUUGAUAUUAAUCUGAACUAGAUUGUUGUAAAUUAAGAUGUUAAUUGUCAU
rnacentral:lncRNA from 1 species